AAGAGCCCUCUAUCCCCA
rnacentral:tRNA from 1 species